rnacentral:SRP_RNA from 1 species
GCUGGGCGUGGUGGUGCAUGCCUGUAGUCCCAGCUACUCGGGAGGCUGAGAUGGGAGGAUCACUUGAACCCAGGAAGCGGAGGCUGCAGUGAGCCAUGAUUGUGCCACUGCACUCCAGCCUGGAUGACAGAGUGAGACCCUGUCUCCA